CGUUGAGCUACCUCUGGUUAGGCCCCGGAGCAGGAACCGUAACGGCCCAUACGCAAUAUCCUCAGUCUGAUCACAACGUGAGGGGCGGAGAUGGGACAAACCAGGCAGAGGACGCCACCGGCACGGCAGAGCACAAGCCCACAGUUGCGGAAGCGAUCGAUUGGGGCUUCAACUCGCGGUGCAAGUGAAAAGAUCUCCAGGAACAUGGUUCUCUUUCUCAUGUUUAAAGAUUAAAGCAGGAUCUUUGGAAUUUCACGUACGCAGAGAUGCGCCUACAGAUAUCUGCAGAUGCAUCUAGGAGGACACCAAACCAUGAACGUUCAUCCGAGAAUUUAUAGUUUAAGUUAUUACCUUGUCUGUAUUCAUUAUAUUGGUAUAUUACUUGUAAGUCAUGACAUAAAUUAGAUAUAGCCUAUUCUUCGUAGUAUUCUUGCUAUGUAAAUUUGAUAUUCCAGAAUCCCGAGCAGGUUAACUUCUUUUUU